rnacentral:piRNA from 1 species
UAAUAAUGUGAGGAUGGUAUACAGUUUUUC